rnacentral:pre_miRNA from 15 species
AACUGAAGAGAGCAGUCUAUUGACAGUCGGUUACUCGAAAUCUUUACUGUCAUGGAGGCGCUCUCUUCAGAUGA